UUAACUCAAAUUUGUAUGGAGUUCGAACGUGUGCCUACGUUUGCGGCUAGGGGCGCUGUUCCAACUGCAUAUAAUUUUGACUUA
rfam:Bombyx mori DNA, contig: Bm_scaf96_contig35347, strain: p50T/Dazao, build 2, whole genome shotgun sequence.